UAAUACGGAGGGUGCAAGCGUUAUCCGGAUUCACUGGGUUUAAAGGGUGCGUAGGCGGGCAGGUAAGUCAGUGGUGAAAUCCCCGAGCUUAACUUGGGAACUGCCGUUGAUACUAUCUGUCUUGAAUACUAUGGAGGUAAGCGGAAUAUGUCAUGUAGCGGUGAAAUGCUUAGAUAUGACAUAGAACACCAAUUGCGAAGGCAGCUUGCUACACAGUUAUUGACGCUGAGGCACGAAAGCGUGGGGAUCAAACAGGAUUAGAUACCCUGGUAGUCCACGCCCUAAACGAUGAUUACUCGACAUCAGCGAUACACUGUUGGUGUCUGAGCGAAAGCAUUAAGUAAUCCACCUGGGAAGUACGACCGCAAGGUUG
rnacentral:rRNA from 1 species